AUUUAAAAACAUCCUAUGUUAUUGUUCAAC
rnacentral:other from 1 species